rnacentral:lncRNA from 1 species
UUGGGGUAUCCCGCGAUUAUGCAAGAUGAGGAAGAAGUAGAGAGCUCGGGGUACCAAAUUACAUAUAUAUCUGUCAAAAUGAUGUAGGACCUAAAGUCUCUCUGUAAGUUGAUCCUUUUGACCCCAUGAUUAGGAGCUUCACAAUGUGGUACCACACCUGGAAACCUCCAGAACAAGAUCUCAAGGAAACACAGGAAAUUCCUGAAACAGCAAAACCCCCUAUGUGAAGACGUCUGUUAUUCCUUUGUGUAUCAGGAGCAUCACUGUUAAUUAACUGUUGAUACACUUAAAACAGCUUGGUUGGCAAUGUCCUUUUUGAAUAAAGAAGAGCCAGGUGUGUUUUUCAGGAUGAACUAGACAAUGCUGUCACAAGUUUACCUCUACAUCUUAUUGCCUUGGAAAAAUUUCCUGCAUAUCGUGGCACAAGAUGGUUGGCUCUCCAGGCAGCAGUUGGCGUUGUGAAUCAGUCAUCUCAGCAUGUGUCUCCAAGAUCCCACAGCAGGGGGAAAAAGAGGUGGAGGGUCACAUGCCUGGUGUUACAUACUUUGAGGCAGAGGUGGUAGGUGCCAUUUCUGCUCACAGCUCAUGGACCAGAACAAAGCCAUGCAUACCUGAGAGAGGACCAGAAAAUAUUCUGAAGCAGAUGGCUAUUUGGUCCGUGUUCUGACUAAAAGGAAGCCACACUCUGUCGAAAACAAGCUUUGUAAGAAAAUUUUGAAGUAUUUACUUAUAUCUAACCAUUCAUUCCACCUUUUCUCCCAAAUAACACUCUAAUAUCUUGAGACAUCUUGUCUAGGGCCAGAUUUCAUAAAUGCUUGUGAGGCAGGAGAAUAAGUUCCAGAGGCAGUUCACACUGCCUAAAGCCAAUUCACACUGACUUCCUAUAACUAAAUCUAAAGGAAAAUCUCAACUUUCCUCGCCCAAGUAACAAAAGAAUCAGAGGUUAUACUCCCUUUGCAACCUGCCCCUUUUCUGCCUGGCAGAUGAAAAAUGAAAAGUACCUAUGACUGGUCCCCUCCCACGACCAGCCAGACUGGUCACGGAUCACUACUUCAUUUACAUAGGGCGUAAACCGAGUAACCAAUGGGAAACCUCUAGAGGGUAUUUAAACCCCAGAAAAUUCUGUAACCGGUGGUCUCCAGCAGGUUGCUCAAUCUUGCUGCCACUCUGUGGGAUGUACUUUUGUUUCAAUAAAUCUGUGCUCUUC